GAUGAACGCUGGCGGCGUGCCUAAUACAUGCAAGUCGAGCGAACAGACGAGGAGCUUGCUCCUCUGACGUUAGCGGCGGACGGGUGAGUAACACGUGGAUAACCUACCUAUAAGACUGGGAUAACUUCGGGAAACCGGAGCUAAUACCGGAUAAUAUAUUGAACCGCAUGGUUCAAUAGUGAAAGACGGUUUUGCUGUCACUUAUAGAUGGAUCCGCGCCGGAUUAGCUGGUUGGUAAGGUAACGGCUUACCAAGGCAACGAUGCGUAGCCGACCUGAGAGGGGGAUCGGCCCCAGUGGAACUGAGACGCGGUCCAGACUCCUACGGGAGGCAGCAGUAGGGAAUCUUCCGCAAAGGGCGAAAGCCUGACGGAGCAACGCCGCGUGAGUGAUGAAGGUCUUCGGAUCGUAAAACGCUGUUAUUAGGGAAGAACAAAUGUGUAAGUAACUAUGCACGUCUUGACGGUACCUAAUCAGAAAGCCACGGCUAACUACGU
rnacentral:rRNA from 1 species